AUUGAACGCUGGCGGCAGGCCUAACACAUGCAAGUCGAGCGGAUGAAGGGAGCUUGCUCCUGGAUUCAGCGGCGGACGGGUGAGUAAUGCCUAGGAAUCUGCCUGGUAGUGGGGGAUAACGUCCGGAAACGGGCGCUAAUACCGCAUACGUCCUGAGGGAGAAAGUGGGGGAUCUUCGGACCUCACGCUAUCAGAUGAGCCUAGGUCGGAGUAGCUAGUUGGUGGGGUAAAGGCCUACCAAGGCGACGAUCCGUAACUGGUCUGAGAGGAUGAUCAGUCACACUGGAACUUAGACACGGUCCAGACUCCUACGGGAGGCAGCAGUGGGGAAUGUUGGACAAUGGGCGAAAGCCUGAUCCAGCCAUGGCGCGUGUGUGAAGAAGGUCUUCGGAUUGUAAAGCACUUUAAGUUGGGAGGAAGGGCAGUAAGUUAAUACCUUGCUGUUUUGACGUUACCAACAGAAUAAGCACCGGCUAACUUCGUG
rnacentral:rRNA from 1 species